rnacentral:rRNA from 1 species
UACGGAGGGUGCAAGCGUUGUCCGGAUUUAUUGGGUUUAAAGGGUGCGUAGGCGGCUGAAUAAGUCAGCGGUGAAAGACUUCGGCUUAACCGGAGCAGUGCCGUUGAUACUGUUGGCUUGAGUGUUGGAGGGUACAUGGAAUUGAUGGUGUAGCGGUGAAAUGCAUAGAUACCAUCAGGAACACCGAUAGCGAAGGCAUUGUACUGGCCAACAACUGACGCUGAGGCACGAAAGUGUGGGAUCGAACAGG